UUGGGAGCUCACUGGCUUCGGAGACAUAGGAACUCCGAAGUUAAGCGAGUUGGGGGCUAGAGCAAUCUCAGGAUGGGUGACCCACUGGGAAGUGCUCGUGAGCUCCCAGA
rnacentral:rRNA from 1 species